rnacentral:tRNA from 2 species
UUAGAUGGAUUCUAAUAAAUCCCAUAAACA